AACGAACGUUGGCGGCGUGGAUUAGGCAUGCAAGUCGUACGAGCUUCAUCUGGGCAACUGGGUGAAGAAAGUGGCGAAAGGGGCAGUAAGGCAUGGAUAAUCUACCCUGAUGACCGGGAUAGCUGUCCCAACGGGCAGGUAAUACCGGAUGAGCUGGUGGGGCCGCAUGGUUCUGCCAGGAAAGGCGCAAGCCGUGUCGGGAGGAAUCCAUGUGAUAUUAGCUAGUUGGUGAGGUAACGGCUCACCAAGG
rnacentral:rRNA from 1 species